GGCUGGUUAGCUCAGUCAGUAGAGCAUAGCACUAACAACUCUAAGUUCAUGGGUUCGAUUCCCGUUUGGCCC
rfam:Apaloderma vittatum contig12990, whole genome shotgun sequence.